rnacentral:rRNA from 1 species
UGCAGUCGAACGGUAACAGGUCUUCGGAUGCUGACGAGUGGCGAACGGGUGAGUAAUACAUCGGAACGUGCCCGAUCGUGGGGGAUAACGCAGCGAAAGCUGUGCUAAUACCGCAUACGAUCUACGGAUGAAAGCGGGGGAUCGCAAGACCUCGCGCGGACGGAGCGGCCGAUGGCAGAUUAGGUAGUUGGUGGGAUAAAAGCUUACCAAGCCGACGAUCUGUAGCUGGUCUGAGAGGACGACCAGCCACACUGGGACUGAGACACGGCCCAGACUCCUACGGGAGGCAGCAGUGGGGAAUUUUGGACAAUGGGCGCAAGCCUGAUCCAGCCAUGCCGCGUGCAGGAUGAAGGCCUUCGGGUUGUAAACUGCUUUUGUACGGAACGAAAAAGCUCUCUCUAAUACAGGGGGUGAAUGACGGUACCGUAAGAAUAAGCACCGGCUAACUACGUGCCAGC